GAUGAACGCUGGCGGCGUGCCUAAUACAUGCAAGUCGAGCGAAUGGAUUAAGAGCUUGCUCUUAUGAAGUUAGCGGCGGACGGGUGAGUAACACGUGGGUAACCUGCCCAUAAGACUGGGAUAACUCCGGGAAACCGGGGCUAAUACCGGAUAACAUUUUGAACCGCAUGGUUCGAAAUUGAAAGGCGGCUUCGGCUGUCACUUAUGGAUGGACCCGCGUCGCAUUAGCUAGUUGGUGAGGUAACGGCUCACCAAGGCAACGAUGCGUAGCCGACCUGAGAGGGUGAGCGGCCACACGUGGAUUGAGAGACGGCCCAGACUCCUACGGGAGGCAGCAGUAGGGAAUCUUCCGCAAUGGACGAAAGUCUGACGGAGCAACGCCGCGUGAGUGACGAAGGCUUUCGGGUCGUAAAACUCUGUUGUUAGGGAAGAACAAGUGCUAGUUGAAUAAGCUGGCACCCUGACGGUACCUAACCAGAAAGCCACGGCUAACUACGUGCCAGCCGCCGCAGUAA
rnacentral:rRNA from 1 species